rnacentral:rRNA from 1 species
UACGGAGGGUGCAAGCGUUGUCCGGAUUUAUUGGGUUUAAAGGGUGCGUAGGCGGCUCGUUAAGUCCGUGGUGAAAGCCUCCAGCUCAACUGGAGAACUGCCAUGGAUACUGGCGGGCUUGAGUACAGACGAGGGUGGCGGAAUUGAUUGUGUAGCGGUGAAAUGCGUAGAUACAAUCAAGAACUCCGAUUGCGUAGGCAGCUAACUAGGCUGUAACUGACGCUGAGGCACGAAAGCGUGGGGAGCGAACAGG